rnacentral:rRNA from 1 species
GACGAACGCUGGCGGCGUGCUUAACACAUGCAAGUCGAACGGAAAGUCCCUGCUUUUGUGGGGUGCUCGAGUGGCGAACGGGUGAGUAACACGUGAGUAACCUGCCCUUGACUUUGGGAUAACUUAAGGAAACUGGGGCUCAUACCGGAUAGGAGCUCCUGCUGCAUGGUGGGGGUUGGAAAGUUUAGGUGGUUGGGGAUGGACGCGCGGCUUAUCAGCUUGUUGGUGGGGUAGUGGAUUACCAAGGCUUUGACGGGUAGCAGGGCUGGUAGGGUGACCGGCCACAUUGGGACUGAGAUACGGCCCAGACUCCUACGGGAGGCAGCAGUGGGGAAUAUUGCACAAGGGGCGGAAGCCUGAUGCAGCAACGCCGCGUGCGGGAUGACGGCCUGCGGGUUGUAAUCCGCUUUCGCCUGUGACGAAGCGUGAGUGACGGUAAUGGGUAAAGAAGCUCCGGCUAACUACGUG